rnacentral:rRNA from 1 species
UACGUAGGGGGCAAGCGUUGUCCGGAUUUAUUGGGCGUAAAGAGCGUGUAGGCGGCUAGAUAGGUCCGUUGUGAAAACUCGAGGCUCAACCUCGAGACGUCGAUGGAAACCAUCUGGCUAGAGUCCGGAAGAGGAGAGUGGAAUUCCCGGUGUAGCAGUGAAAUGCGUAGAGAUCGGGAGGAACACCAGUGGCGAAGGCGGCUACCUGGACCAGCACUGACACUGAAGCACGAAAGCGUGGGGAGCAAACAGG